CUGCUGGGGAGAAAUAAAAUGAAUGUGGGUAUCCAGUCCGCCGGCCGUGACGAUCAGGCCUUCCCCUGCCAGGGCCUCCGUGGAGGCUCCCACGGUCAUGCCCGGAGUCACCCCGUCCAUGACAGAGGGAUUUCCGGCUUUUCCGAUACCGGCGAUCUUCCCGUCUUUGAUUCCGAUAUCCGCCUUAUAGAUUCCGGUAUAGUCCACAAUCAGGGCAUUGGUGAUCACCAGAUCCAGAUCUCCGUCUGCGCUGGUGGUUUUUACCGACUGCCCCAUGCCGUCCCG
rnacentral:sRNA from 1 species